UACGAAGGGGGCUAGCGUUGCUCGGAAUGACUGGGCGUAAAGCGUGCGCAGGCGGUCUGUUAAGACCGAUGUGAAAUCCCCGGGCUUAACCUGGGAACUGCAUUGGUGACUGGCAGGCUUUGAGUGUGGCAGAGGGAGGUAGAAUUCCACGUGUAGCAGUGAAAUGCGUAGAGAUGUGGAGGAAUACCGAUGGCGAAGGCAGCCUCCUGGGCCAACACUGACGCUCAUGCACGAAAGCGUGGGGAGCAAACAGG
rnacentral:rRNA from 1 species